AACACCUGUGGGGCAUUCCUUUUUGAACAGUACCCCUUCCCUUGAUGUCUGCAAUAUCACCUUUCUUAUAGAUUAGCAUAUAUGUGGCCAAAGGAACAACUCCAUGUUUUUGUAAAGGCCUAGAGAACAUAUAUCCAGUGCCUUUCCUUUUUGCCUUUGUAUUCAUCAUUUUGGCAAAUUACUGGAAGAUGACGGUUCUGGCCAAAAGGCUGGUUUUGUUUUUGGGUCACAUUUUCUUGCUUCUCUGCGUUAGAAUCUUGGAUUAGAUGAUGGACAUGGUGAAGAUGGAAAAUAUGAGGUGCAGAGAAGUGAUGGAAAAAAGAGAAGAUCAGGAUUUCAGUUUUUUUCUGCAUUUCUCAUCAUCCCAUGAAGUCUCUUGAUAACAUAAGCCAAGUUUUCAUAUACCUUGACGUGUGUGAUACUUACGUGGUGCCAAGAACAAGAUGCAUACUCAAUAAAUAUUCAUCACUAUAGGCAAAAGCGGGCACAGAUGGAAAAUAAAAUUAUUUGAAGAGUCUUGCUCUGUCACACAGGCUGGAGCGUAGUGGCAUGAUCUCAGCUCAUUGCAACCUCUGCCUCCUGGGUUCAAGCAAUCCUCCUACCUCAGCCUCCUGAGUAGCUUGGACCACAGGAGACAAAAUCCUACUAGAGAGAAGGGGCCUGCUUCAAGCACAUAACUGGAUUCUACCUCAAGACAAUCUGCCACAUUUGAAGCUUGGAAUCUUCAAAGAGCAGAAUAGAAUGUGCUGUACUCUUUCAGGACUAAAGAGACAAAGACUUCUAGGGUCUCAAUCGACAGCCUUGGAGGAACAUGUCUAAGGAAUAGGGGUGAACCAGAGAAGACCUAGCUUACUGAAAUUACAAUGUGGUCCCAAUCCAGCUAAACCCCUGGUUGGAUUGAGGUAAUCAAUCUCUCACCCUAUCUACAGAAGAAAAGAGAAACUCAUGGUGGAGUAAGAUGCCAUCUGGAGCCUCUAUGAUUCAUUUAUAUAUAUCCUACAGAAUACAGUCAAAAUUGCUAGAUAUGCAAAAACACAGGAAAAGGUGAUUUAAAAAUCAAAACAGAAAAUAGAAGUAGACACAUCAUGUUGGAUUUAGCAGACAAUGAUUUGAAACUAACCAUGAUUGAUAUGUCAAAAAUGUAUGAAAGUUGAUAAAAAAGAAUAAGAUGUGUGUUAAAAAAAAAAAAAA
rnacentral:lncRNA from 1 species